GCAUGGGGGCACCCUGNACGCAGCAACGCCGCGUGAAGGAUGAAGGUUUUCGGNAANAUAAACUUCUNNAAUUAAGGACGAAACUUGACGGUACUUAAUGNNUAAGCUCCGGCUAACUACGUGCCAGCAGCCGCGGUAAUACGUAGGGAGCAAGCGUUGUCCGGAUUUACUGGGUGUAAAGGGUGCGUAGGCGGCUUUGCAAGUCAGAUGUGAAAUCUAUGGGCUCAACCCAUAAACUGCAUUUGAAACUGUAGAGCUUGAGUGAAGUAGAGGCAGGCGGAAUUCCCCGUGUAGCGGUGAAAUGCGUAGAGAUGGGGAGGAACACCAGUGGCGAAGGCGGCCUGCUGGGCUUUAACUGACGCUGAGGCACGAAAGCGUGGGUAGCAAACAGGAUUAGAUACCCUGGUAGUCCAAGGGCGAAUUC
rnacentral:rRNA from 1 species